CCUACGGGAGGCAGCAGUGAGGAAUAUUGGUCAAUGGACGAAAGUCUGAACCAGCCAAGCCGCGUGAAGGAAGACGGCUCUAUGAGUUGUAAACUGCUUUUGUACGGGGGUAAACGCAGAUACGUGUAUCAGUCUGAAAGUAUCGUAUGAAUAAGGAUCGGCUAACUCCGUGCCAGCAGCCGCGGUAAUACGGAGGAUCCGAGCGUUAUCCGGAUUUAUUGGGUUUAAAGGGUGCGUAGGCGGUCGGAUAAGUUAGAGGUGAAAUCCCGAGGCUCAACCUCGGAAUUGCAUCUGAUACUGUUCGUCUAGAGAGUAGUUGCGGUAGGCGGAAUGUAUGGUGUAGCGGUGAAAUGCUUAGAGAUCAUACAGAACACCGAUUGCGAAGGCAGCUUACCAAGCUACUACUGACGUUGAGGCACGAAAGCGUGGGUAGCAAACAGGAUUAGAUACCCGAGUAGUC
rnacentral:rRNA from 1 species